UGUGCAAAGCUUUCUUGAGUAUCCUAGGGCAGCAAAGCAAACCAAUGCACGUGAGGUUUAUUUCAAACGUUUUGACUACUUACCGUUCUCCCGUUUUAGGGAAUUGUCUUGGGAACACAAGCUGUCCUGUCAGGACGGUAGCUGUGACUGUGUCGGCUGCGCAGAUCUGCCCAUAGGCUGUCGGGCACCCAGAGGUCAGCGGAGAAGCACCCGACCCGUGCCACACCAAGCCCCUCAUGCCAACAGGACUUGGCCCAUCCUGGGGGCUCCGUCCCCACCUGCCUCUCUGGGUCUGCAGAGGUAGUGAAGCUCCCUGUUUGCAGUCCGUCGUGAUGGCGACCCCAGGACACUGAUACAGGCUUUGAGUAUAGGGGAUGUCAUGACCACGCUUCACCCACAACAAACC